GUCCACGCCUAACGAUGAGAACUAGCCGUUGGAGGAGUUAAUCCUCUAGUGGCGCAGCUAACGCGUUAAGUUCUCCGCCUGGGAGUACGGCCGCAAGAUUAAACUCAAAGGAAUUGACGGGACCCGCACAAGCGGUGGAUGAUGUGGAUUAAUUCGAUGCAACGCGAACAACCUUACCUACCCUUGACAUGUCCGGAAGGCCGCCGAGAGGUGGUUGUGCCCCGAAAGGGACCGGAACACAGGUGCUGCAUGGCUGUCGU
rnacentral:rRNA from 1 species